UACGAAGGGGGCUAGCGUUGCUCGGAAUCACUGGGCGUAAAGGGUGCGUAGGCGGGUCUUUAAGUCAGGGGUGAAAUCCUGGAGCUCAACUCCAGAACUGCCUUUGAUACUGAGGAUCUUGAGUUCGGGAGAGGUGAGUGGAACUGCGAGUGUAGAGGUGAAAUUCGUAGAUAUUCGCAAGAACACCAGUGGCGAAGGCGGCUCACUACCCAGAUAUUGACACUGAGGCACGAAAGCGUGGGGAUCAAACAGG
rnacentral:rRNA from 1 species